ensembl:lncRNA LINC01478 long intergenic non-protein coding RNA 1478
GUGGAUGGUGAGCCACGUGAAUGGAAGACAUGGAGAUAUGGACUGUUAACACCUUGUCAAACAUUUAUUGUCCCUUCCACCUCUAAACUUCUGUGAUAAUAGGUGAACAGGACCCACGUGGUGCAGAAUACUGCGAUACACACUGCGGAAUAAUUCAGUUCAGCCCCUAGACAGUCCCCUUCUCCCUCUCCCAGUGCAGAACAACACGUGGAUUGCUCAGUACAACUUGUUCAUCACAUCCUCCUGUUCACUGAAGAAUUAUGGAAAUAUUCUCUGAGCUGCUUUCCUCCCUGCCCAACGAGUCAUCUCUGUGUGAAAGGCCAAGCUUAUAAAUCCUGGGACUGGGAGUUGGAGAGGGGAGACUGGAGAGAGUAGGAAGAAGAAAGAGACAUUAUACAAAUGCAAGCUGUUGUCACAACAAUGAUAAGAAAUCAGGAGUCGAAAGAUGUGGAGUAAGGGGGAAUUUCAGAGAAACCACAAAACACAAAAUAGGAAACAGAGACAGGAGAAGAUUGCUAUGACAAAAUUGCAGAAGGUGAAAUCUUUGGCAGCCUCUUAUUUCUCUGGAGAAUAUGAUAUUGUCAGGCUGAGGUGGAAGAAUCACAUGGUCAUACUGUUGAAGAGGUCUUGAAACAUUGGGCUUUCCUCUACAAGCGGAAGGAUAGCACUGGCAGCCAUCCACUGGCCCAGCAAUAUCCUGGAUUGAGACGAUAUCAUUUGCAUUACUUGCUGAAUGAAACAUAGUGAAAAUGACUGCAGAUAACCUCAACUAAGUCCAAGAUAUCAUUUUCAAAUCUGGACCAGCCCUUGCCAUCUAGACUGAACAGAGAUUCCAGUUUCCAGGAGAGUAGAUGGAGUAAUGAUAAAAGCACCUCCCAAAACUUUUGCCUUGUGAUUGGCAAAAAAGAGAGACAUCAAUAUGGACUGAAGUCACAGAAUGAGUUUCCUGGGAGAGAUGCUUCUUGAUAUGACCCUAGAAGCUCCAUCAAAACUUAUAAAAUCUUGGGAAGAGGAACUGUGGCCCAUCACUGAUCAUUUCAUCUAUUAAGUGACCACUUAUUGUCUUAUAAUAGGAGAUGUUCUGGAAACAUGCAUUGAAUCGAAGUGGCUUUGAGGAAGCAUGAAGAGAAAACAGGAUGGCAUCCUUUUGGCACCAUUUCUUAUGCUAUAAUAAGGAUUCCUUCUGUUUACACAUAAAACAGAAGAGUUUAAUCACCCCAGCAAUCUUUAACUUGGUAAUGAAGGCCAUAAAUUAAAUUUUAAGCAAAGUUAAAGAAGAUGAGAUGAAAUAUAAAACAAAAACAUCAUCAGAAUCUGCCCAGGAACAAUAUUCUUGACACCAAACCAUGACAUUAUGGGGCUCAGUUGUUUGUUUCUAGGGCAGCCCCUUGUUUUAUGUGCCAAAUAGCAUUUCCCUAAAUAAAACUGCAUGGAACAAAAUGC